rnacentral:rRNA from 1 species
CUACGGGAUGCAGCAGCGAGGAAUAUUGCACAAUGGGGGGAACCCUAAUGCAGCAACGCCGCGUGGAGGAUGACGCAUUUCGGUGUGUAAACUCCUUUUAUAUGUCAAGAAAAUGACGGUAGCAUAUGAAUAAGCACCGGCUAACUCCGUGCCAGCAGCCGCGGUAAUACGGAGGGUGCAAGCGUUACUCGGAAUCACUGGGCGUAAAGGACGCGUAGGCGGGUUGGAAAGUCAGGUGUGAAAUCCUACAGCUUAACUGUAGAACUGCACUUGAAACUUCUAAUCUAGAGUAUGGGAGGGGGAGAUGGAAUUAGUGGUGUAGGGGUAAAAUCCGUAGAUAUCACUAGGAAUACCUAAAGCGAAGGCGAUCUCCUGGAACAUUACUGACGCUAAGGCGUGAAAGCGUGGGGAGCAAACAGGAUUAGAUACCCGCGUAGUC